AAGGGACUCUGUUACUAGAAACGCUUUUUAAGGGAGAAGAAGUCUUCCAAUCUGGCUUCAAUAUCAUGCUCAUGUGGAUAUUAAUAUCCUUGGAAUUAAUAGCUUUCCCCCCUGGAAAAUGUGAAACGGCAACAUCUUAAAAUGGCCGAUAUGUGUUAGGUAGCUGUUUCUAAUUUUGCUUUAAAGAAGUGUCUGUAGUGCCUAGCUCCUGUUACAGACUAAUGACCUUCCAAAUAUCACUUUUAACAAGUUUAGACUUUAAGUUACAAGAGCACAAAGCAGCGCAAGAGUCAAGUUGAAGGAUGAGAAGUUUGCACCUGCUGCUCUGCUCUGCACCCUUAAUUAUAUGAGGACAGAUGUGCUUGCUCAGUCUCUGUACAUUACUGCUGGCGGUGGAUCUGCCAAGGCUCUGGCAAAACUUGCAAAGGAAUUAGUGCUCUCAGGGCCAUAAAGUAGAGGCACCUUUCUAUUUUUACUUCAUAGCAAAGACUUCUCUGGACGUGAUAUGGUGCUAAUUCACUCUUACAAUCAAGGGUUGCAACUAAUUCAUCCUUUUGCUUAAUCACAGCGAUCAGAGGUGGAAGAAAGGCAAAGGAGCUUUGAAUUUGUGAUGAUAAAACUUGAAAAAGAAUUUGUAAUCUGCCACAUUCUACUGCUCGAAACUCCCAGAGAAACCACGUAGCACAUCUGACUUAUCCUCCAACAAGGACUGCCCUCUGAUGUGUCUGAAAGAAAGGUGACAAUCAUAUUCAGACUCUUCAUGGACUGGCCCUCUAUUUGGACAACUGCAUAAUAUCUAGAUCUUUGAUACCCUGUCUGGGGACAAAAUUUUGUCAGCUGUGCAGGAACCAGGUUAUCCUGGAAUACAGUGAAAUAAACCAUAAAACAGUUCUUUUUGUUUGUCAGGCAGAGCAAAAUGGCAUUGCUUCCUUUAAAUCUGGUUUGUUUUCCUUUUCUCUUACCUAACCAGCUCUUCAACCUGGCUCUCCAACCUGGGGCUGGAACUGAUUGGAACUUUAAAAUGCUUUGUUACCGUCUGUUCUUUUUUCAGUAAGCACAAUGGUUUACUCCCUUUUGAGGCAGGGUCCCGUGUAAUGAGUCGAUGCUUCUGUUAACUCUAAGAACCCUUAAUUAUUUCCACCAUUUUCUCCAUGUGUUUCCUUCGCUGACUGUGUGAAUCACAGGCAGGCUGCUGGUUGUCAGAGACUGAAAAAGUCACUGGCCUUCCUUGGCAAGGAACUGAAUUCUGCAGCGUCUGUAUUCAUGGACAGAGUAUCCUGUCUCAGAGUUUGUGCAGCACCUUCUGUUUUUAGUUUACUGGUGAUCGGGGCACAUCACAAGAACUUGGAGUGCAGCUAAAGCCAAAUCAGACUUGACAGAAAAUUAUUAGCAGGGUACAGAAGGAAAAAAGAUCCCCCUUCCUCUCUGUAAUCAGGUUAAUAUGUGCAUGGAAUGUUUCACUUAAAAAGGUAGUGUGUUUUGGCAAAGCUGGUUUCUUAAGUAGAAUUUCAGUUCCCAUUAUGCGAGGCUAUCCAUUGCUGCUCUGGCAGAGCCUUUGAUCAGUGAACUCAGUGGGGGAGAAGGGCAUAGGCAUAUUAAUAACUUCAACAUGUGGCCCUUCGGCCCAGCUGUACCCUAGUCUUGGAAAAAGGCCAACUGGAAAGGGUUUUCUUAACACCACCUAUGCAUGCAUAUUUUGGAAAGGGGUAAAAGGAAGAUAGGGGUUCAAAGGAGGAAAUAAAAUCUGGUUUUAUGGUAGUUAUUUCUCUUGUCCCUGUUCCCUAUUUGGAGCAUUCUGCUACUACAUAUUUGGAUCCUAUGCACUCAGGCUCCAUCCUCAACUUUUACUAUCUUUGUUCCUUCUGCUGUAAUGUUAUAAAGAUUAAAGCUACUGGUUUAAUUUACAUACCAGCUCAGGACAAGGUUAGGGAGAGGCAGAAGGCUCCAUAAGAGUCUAUAGGGAUGAGAGAUUAAUGGGAACCAGGUGCCUGAAAUAGGAGCCCAGGGUCCAUUUUGCCAGGACUGUAUCUUUUGCCCUUUACCCCCUGCAUAGGUAUUUUUGACUGUUUUAUUUUAACAAUCAUAGGCUUUAGGCCUCAUGAAAUUACUGCCACAGACUAGAGCCCAGCCUGCCCUUUUAGUGUGUGUUUCCUUGUAUUAUUUCAUACCAUCCUCCUUUCAUUUUCUUCUUCUGGGUUGUUCAUUUGCCGUGUCUCCCUGUGAAAAGUUUCCCAAGUGACUCUACAUCAUAGCCAUGGAAAGCAGACUUAGCUCAGCAAAAGUGGCUUUUCAACAAUGACCUCAGUAGACAUUUGUUCUCUCUCUCUCCUCCUCUUCCUCCUUCAAUUUUAUGAUAUUGUUAUCAUUUCCUUGAUUCAAAUCUUCUAUGCUU
rnacentral:lncRNA from 1 species